UUGACAGGCGUCAGGCGUUAAGGGCGUGCGAGUGAGAGGUGUUGCGUGAAUGCCUAUAGUGCGAGUGAGACCGUUUAUCUAAUACGAAGGGACGUAUACCUGCUCUCGAGUAACAAUGUACAGAGAAGAAUUUCGUCAGUUGUGCCAAUGAUUUUUACUUGUGAAGAUGCUUUGAGCUAUAACAUUUCUUAUGUUGAGUGAUUUCGAAUUUUUAAAAAUUAAAUAUUAUUAUCAAUUGUGCAGUGAUAUUGUGUAUUGUUGUACUUAAUAUUAACAUUUCAGUAAAUAGUGUGCAAGAUGGAAUUGGAACACGUGGUUUGUGUGAUUUGUAACGAAGACACUGACGAAAAAACUGUACGAUUUACAGAGACUACGUUGAAUAAAAGUAAAUCAAAGUAGUAAGCUAUGAUUCAUCGAAUUUACCACCCUGCAAACGUGAACUACAUCAACAAUUAUUAAGAACUGCCUACAUUACAAAUAUAUGGCGAAAUUGUAAUUUAAAAGAACCAACAAUUCUUACACCUGAAAAUAACGGUUGGAACUUAAUUGAUAGUCGUUACGAAUUUAAUUGGUUUGAGGGGAAUACGGUUCCAUCUUCUAUAUACGACAUACUUUUACAAGGACCUGCUGAUACUGCCACCGUACAAUCGACUGAAACUGAGGAAUGCAUUUCAGAUGAGGAAAACAUUGUUAAAGAAUCAGAUGAUGAUGAAAACAGUGAUAGCGAUAUUUCGGAUGAUGCUGAAGAAAAUGAAUGUUAAAAAUAAUGUAGAUUGCAUAAAACCUAAUAAAAUACAUUGCAUUUACUGUAUGCGUU